AUUGAACGCUGGCGGCAUGCCUAACACAUGCAAGUCGAACGGUAACACGAGAAGGGGUGUUGACGAGUGGUGACGGGGGGCGGAAGGGUUAGGAAUGUAUCCCGAGCUGGUGGAUAACGGAGAAAAACGUGUGCUAAUACCGCAUAAGAGCUGAUGAUGAAAACGGGGGACCGAACAGGAAAGUUAGGCCUUGCGCGUUUGGAACGGCCGAUGUCGGAUUAGCUAGGUGGCGGGGUAAAGGCCCACCAAGGCGACGAUUCGUAGCUGGUCUGAGAGGACGAUCAGCCACACUGGAAAUGAGACACGGUCCAGACUCCUACGGGAGGCAGCAGUGGGGAAUUUUUGGAAAUGGGCGAAAGCCUGACUCAGGCACACCGCGUGGGUGAAGAAGGUCUUCGGGUUUGAAAACCCUUUUUUUGGGGAAGAAAAGGAGGUCCGGUAAAACCGGACGUUAUGACGGUACCCAACAAAAAAGGCACGGCUAACUUCGUG
rnacentral:rRNA from 1 species